rnacentral:rRNA from 1 species
CCCUACGGGGUGCAGCAGGCAUCGUGCUGGGAAACACAGACACAGGCGGGCUGGUCGGAUUUAAUGACUGGGGCAGUACUUUUCUCUAUUCAUUCUGGGACAUGGACACCACAGGCCAGUCGCACAGCGGAGGCGGAAAAGCCAGAACAUCCGAACAGAUGAAACAAGCUGCAACGUAUAUGAACUGGAACAGUCCUGAUAAGAGAAUCUGGACCCUUGACGAAGGUAAUGAUUACCCCCGUCUUGGAUGGGAGCAGAAAAACGGGACUGCGAUUGCCUGUCAUGCGUUGAGUGAAUUUCUUGACGGCAGCGGUACAUUGCAGGACCCUUAUCGCGUAUCCACUGCCGAACAAUUCAACAAAAUCGGGCUGUUUGCCGGCGAAUGGGACAAGCACUUUGUUUUAACAUCAAAUAUUGAUAUGUCUGUAGUGAAUCCUGAUGCGUACAAUAAAAUUGGCGGGAGGGC